rnacentral:rRNA from 1 species
UCCACGCCGUAAACGAUGUCGACUUGGAGGUUGUGCCCUUGAGGCGUGGCUACCGGAGCUAACGCGUUAAGUCGACCGCCUGGGGAGUACGGCCGCAAGGUUAAAACUCAAAUGAAUUGACGGGGGCCCGCACAAGCGGUGGAGCAUGUGGUUUAAUUCGAUGCAACGCGAAGAACCUUACCUGGUCUUGACAUCCACAGAACUUUCCAGAGAUGGAUUGGUGCCUUCGGGAACUGUGAGACAGGUGCUGCAUGGCUGUCGUCAGCUCGUGUUGUGAAAUGUUGGGUUAAGUCCCGCAACGAGCGCAACCCUUAUCUUUUGUUGCCAGCGGUCCGGCCGGGAACUCAAAGGAGACUGCCAGUGAUAAACUGGAGGAAGGUGGGGAUGACGUCAAGUCAUCAUGGCCCUUACAACCAGGGCUACACACGUGCUACAAUGGCGCAUACAAAGAGAAGCGACCUCGCGAGAGCAAGCGGACCUCAUAAAGUGCGUCGUAGUCCGGAUUGGAGUCUGCAACUCGACUCCAUGAAGUCGGAAUCGCUAGUAAUCGUGGAUCGGAAUGCCACGGUGAAUACGUUCCCGGGCCUUGUACACACCGCCCGUCACACCAUGGGAGUGGGUUGCAAAAGAAGUAGGUAGCUUAACCUUCGGGAGGGCGCUUACCACUUUGUGAUUCAUGACUGGG